ACGGCAGCCCCGGAAGAAUUCUUCAGGACAGCGUUCCGGCACCUCGUCAAGGACCAGUGCACCUGUCACACAAGGUCAGCGCACCAGACCACAGUCCUACCGACCUCUCACCCCCAGUUCAUGCCCCAACUGCGGUCAAGGAGAGCACCCGAGGACCUCCUGCCCGGCACGAGCUGCAAAAUGCAACUACUGCGGUUGUUCCGGACAUUUCGCAGUGGUGUGUCGGAAAAAGGCUGCAGGCGAGCGAAAGAAGGAAUACAAGUUGUUUGCUCGCAACUACGGUUUUCGCGCUGUGACGUCUAGCCCCAGGUACCCCCAGGCAAA